GAAAAAUGUGCCUCUAAGCUACUGUUCUGUAAGUCCGGCUGCUGUUGCAUGUGGCUAUGGUCUGCCAUAAUGUUGCUGGAAUCUAAGAUUUUCAUGUCACCAACUCCAUCCUCUUGGGGCAUCUCUCUCUGGGUAUUAUCUUCCUCCAUCAGGAUAUUCUGCUGAAUCUCAAAGGCGAAAUUGAGAUUGGUGCCACCCUG